rnacentral:snoRNA from 1 species
AGCCCAUGAUGAAGGCACAAUCUCAACAUCUUUUUGAAGCCCUCCCAAGAUUCAUAGAGCGAUUCUCCUUCCUUUUGAGAAAAACUUGUGAUUUGAUUUUUCAAUU